UUCCCCGUAGCUCAGUGGCAGAGCUCGUGUAUUUGGUGAGCGAAAUCGCCUAGCAACUACAAGCAGGUGGUCGCAGGUUCGAAUCCUGCCCGGUCUC